rnacentral:RNase_P_RNA from 1 species
CGUGAAAACCGUUCCAUCGAUGCGUUUGCAAAAGCGUGUAGGAAAGUCCGGACAAUACAGAGCACCACGCUUCCUAACGGGAAGAUGUUUCGAUUUAUCGGAGCAAUAGAAAGUGCCACAGAGACAAUACCGCCCCUCGGCUUCGCUGGGGGUUCGUUUAUCGAUCAUUCGGGAUUUAUAUCGGCUUUUUCGGCUGCUUCCCGAGCGGAGUCGAAUCGGUCCCCGAGCGGAGUCGAGGGGUAAGGGUGAAAAGAGUGGGGUAAGAGCCCACAGCCAUGUUUGGCAACAGGCAUGGGAGGAAAACCUCGUGGAUUGCAAGACCAUGUAAACCCGGGCUUGAGGGCUGCUCGCCCGAUCCGGGAGGGUAGGUUGCUAGAGUUUAUCGGCGACGGUAAACCCAGAUAAAUGAUGGAAGCGCAGAUGGUAAAACAUCGGCGUACAGAAUCCGGCUUAUAGGUUUUUAAGGGUC